AACGUAAGCCAGAGUUGAGGUUCAAAAGAAACCAAGCGAAGCUUGAGAUGGAAGUAGAGAUUGAAAGCUAGUUUGGUGAUGUACAGUACAUUUAGGGAGUGCACAAGACUAGCAACAUGCAGCUUUGGUACAGGUAUAAUAGCUAGCUGUUGUAACGUUAGUUAGCUGAGGUUUGGAAAACGUAUGUUUUGGUAUGUUAGAAUGCAAACAAUGGAAGCAAGUCUCCGGUGGGAAGAGGAAGGCAUGUUGAGCCGGAGUUAGCUGGUCGGACCUUGGAGCAACCACGGCCCCGUAAGUUUCCUCAAUUUCACGAAUAGAUGAAGCCAAAGAAUUUAUUCCUACAUGUACAUUGAGUAGGCAUAGGCACACAUUGAUUAAAUAACUUUCUCAACUCUGCAACAUAAACAAAGGCCUACUGGGCAGGGUCUCACCCACAUGGUACCACCUAAAUGUUACAACCAUAAUAGUCUGAUUAGUGUUAGAAACACAUCAUGACAAGCUGUGACAAAACAACUCCAGUUUUUAUUGUCUUUUUAAUUUCAUUGAACAGCAGAUUGCAGACAUACUGUCUCAAGACGCACUGUAACACGUCUCAGGUAAUUAUUGACACACGUGGUAGCCAAAUUAUAUUUGCCCUUGACACUUCAGAACAUAGGUGGAGAGUUAAUUCAUACAUGGUCUCUGUGGUUGGUUCUAUCUCAACUGCCAUUGAAAAACUCGAGAGAAUGAUGACCAUAGAGUGAACAAAUCGUCUUGAUUUCCCUGAUUGCUCAGUCCUUUUGACAACUGCAAGUGCCUAUUUGCAUUAGCAUCCCAACAUGUCUAAUGUGGUGAUCCCUACACAGCGUAAUGUCCCCACCUGUAAAUCUGUCAUCCAUAUAGAUUGGUGCUGUAGAGACCGAAGCUACAAGCCAGAGGCCUACACCUUGCUCAGGCAAUGUUAAGAAUUUCCAAGUCAAAGUCAGAUCAAGUUCUGCGUGCUACAUUUGCAUUCACUUUACAUUAUUAUAUAACAACCUUUGGUAUGUCUGAAAAAAAAAACUGGUUCUAAUUUAAUGAUUACAUUUUUAUUUUUUCGGUGUGACUAGACAGCUGCUGGCAAGGCUGGAGAUUCUCUUGGCCACGGUGAUAUCUCCUUAAUCAACAAUGUAAUUGAAGACAGCUAUAGUGUACAGAUGCAUGUUGCAAGAAUGAAAGACGAGUGCAAAAAGGCCCAUCCAAACACGGACAUCCUGAAGGAGAAAAUGAAAAGGACAUUCGCUGAGAGAGUCUGCUUCAUUCAAAGCCACUCCACAAGUGACAUUCUUCAGGAGUUCGCAGCAUAUCAUCAUUAUUUUCUCUGAAAUUGAUCACAUCUAUAAAGUUGAUGUGCACAAGAGGUUGCUGGAAGGCUUUGGAAAAGCAGCAGACAAAAUUGUUGCAGAGUCCAGAAGGAGGAGCCUGGGCGAGGAGAUUCUAGUCCAGUACCAGGGCACUCAGCCAGGAAUGUGAAGAGACACACAAAGGACUCACAGCCUGCUACAAUACUCCUGCUCCCCUACCUCUUCAAUGAAAAUCCAGACAGGCUCUAUGUACUUGACAAGGUUAGAGCACCACCAGUGGUGGUUUAGUGGUAGAGCUAAUCGGAUCCACUAAUCGGAAGGUCGGCGGUUCAAUCCCGGCUUCCCCCAGCCCACAUGUCGAAGUGUCCUUGGGCAAGACACUGAACCCCAAAUUGCUCCCGAGGGCUGUGCCUUCGGUGUGUGUGAGUGAUUUACUUUCUUUGAACUGAUGGCAGUUCCGUCAGUGUAUGAAUGUGUGUGACGUGCUUUGAGUAGUCAGAAAAAGACUAGAAAGGUGCUAUAUAAGUACAGUCCAUUUACCAGUCAUUCAUAGGUAGGGCUCUUGCAUGCCUUGCCGUAUUUUGUUUUAAUGGGACCUACUGGGGAUCUAUUUCAUAUCAUGGAGUUAGAUAUGCAGAGAAUACAAGGAAGACCCCAAUUCUUUUUUUUUAAAGUCAAAAUGAUAAAGUUGCAAUUGGGUCAUUAAAAUGGCAAGACAUUAUAUUGUUAGAGUACAUGCAAAUAUUUUUAUGGGAACAAGUACAAAAAGUGAGCCUCAUAGGAGUCUUGACACACAAACACACACACUUUAGUUCUGAGUCAAGUCCGUUGUAUUGAAUUGUUGGUUAAUGGAUUUAUUGACAUUAAAGGAGCUCCGCCUGUUACUUAGCUACUGAGAUGUCUAACGCAGGAGUGACCUGGUUGACGAGCUUAGCUUUAGCUUGCUUUUACUGUACGUUGUGUAUCGCGUUCAGUACAGAAUCCACAGGGCGUUGUUCGGCCGCAGAAUAACAAUCUCUUUAUUUCCUCAGUCCAUUUUCCAGAUUCCAUCGACAACCAAACACUCUGCUCACAGCAUGACAAUCAAACUUUAGCGCCACAGCGUUCAAAAACCCUUUGCUCUUCCAGGAUCAAACAGCUGACAACAGUGACUUCCUAUCUUUAAACCUGAGCCCUUUAUAGUAGCACAGCGACCAAUGUACACAAAGGAAAUAAUUACAUUCUGGUUAUUUCAACAACGUAUUUGGCUCUUACAGACAUUAUAUAAUGGUUAUUGUAUUUAUUCCUGUGUAAUAUUUUGUAUUUAUUUUAUUGUCGCAAAUUAUAAAUGCUCAACCCUCAAAAUCAUUAACGGUUGAACUCAAGCGUCUGAUAUAUGUAAAUAAAACCUUGCUUAAAGACAA